GUCCUGGUCGAGCAUUCCGCCGUC
rnacentral:siRNA from 1 species